rnacentral:rRNA from 1 species
UACGUAGGGUGCGAGCGUUAAUCGGAAUUACUGGGCGUAAAGCGUGCGCAGGCGGUUUUGUAAGCCAGAUGGGAAAACCCCGGGCUUAACCUGGGAAUGGCAUUUGGGACUGCAAGGCUGGAGUGUGGCAGAGGAGACUGGAAUUCCUGGUGUAGCAGUGAAAUGCGUAGAGAUCAGGAGGAACACCCGUGGCGAAGGCGGCACUCUGGGUCGCACCUGACGCUGAGACGCGAAAGCGUGGGGAGCGAACGGG